AGCUCUCGCUAUUAGAUGAGCCUAAGUCGGAUUAGCUGGUUGGUGGGGUAAAGGCCUACCAAGGCGACGAUCUGUAGCUGGUCUGAGAGGAUGAUCAGCCACACUGGGACUGAGACACGGCCCAGACUCCUACGGGAGGCAGCAGUGGGGAAUAUUGGACAAUGGGCGAAAGCCUGAUCCAGCCAUGCCGCGUGUGUGAAGAAGGCCUUUUGGUUGUAAAGCACUUUAAGUGGGGAGGAAAAGCUUAUGGUUAAUACCCAUAAGCCCUGACGUUACCCACAGAAUAAGCACCGGCUAACUCUGUGCCAGCAGCCGCGGUAAUACAGAGGGUGCAAGCGUUAAUCGGAAUUACUGGGCGUAAAGCGCGCGUAGGUGGUUAUUUAAGUCAGAUGUGAAAGCCCCGGGCUUAACCUGGGAACUGCAUCUGAUACUGGAUAACUAGAGUAGGUGAGAGGGGAGUAGAAUUCCAGGUGUAGCGGCGAAAUGCGUAGAGAUCUGGAGGAAUACCGAUGGCGAAGGCAGCUCCCUGGCAUCAUACUGACACUGAGGUGCG
rnacentral:rRNA from 1 species